rnacentral:rRNA from 1 species
UACGUAGGCAGCGAGCGUUGUUCGGAAUUACUGGGCGUAAAGAGUGUGUAGGCGGUGUUCCAAGUCUGGUGUGAAAUCUCCCGCUCAACUGGGAGGGUGCGCCGGAAACUGGGAUGCUAGAGGGUGGGAGAGGUAAGCGGAAUUCCUGGUGUAGCGGUGAAAUGCGUAGAUAUCAGGAGGAACACCUGUGGUGUAGACAGCUUACUGGACCACUUCUGACGCUGAGACACGAAAGCGUGGGUAGCAAACAGG